UAUUCUGCCCUACGGGGAAGGAUGAGAAGCUUCGACUAAGGUUCGACUCGAGCGCCAGCGAGAGAACGUUGCCGCAGGCAAUGGCCCGAAGGGCGAGGAGCGAUAGCGACGAGUUAUCCUUCCCCCUCUAUUC
rnacentral:sRNA from 1 species